UGCCCUCUGCGGUGUACGUAAUCGUGCCGGAUACCCUUUGGACCUAUAAGCUACCCUUUGGGAACCGGAGCACUGGCGCCGUUGAGCAAGCCUGCCUCGUAGCAGGAAGCCUGAAGCGCUAACUUGGGUGACCUCAACUUGAACUCUUUGGUUCAAGGCAAAUGGCCGAUACGGCACAGGCGGAGGGCGU
rnacentral:other from 1 species